UAAAAUUUAUAAAAUUAGGUAGUAAAGAAAUUUCCGAAACCUAAAGAAUUUGGCGGUAUUUUAAAUAAUUGGAGGAACCUGUUAUUUAAUUGACAAUCCACAACAUAUCUUUCCUAAAUUUUAUUUGUAUAUCGUCGUUUUGAUAAUAUUUAAAAAUUAUAAUCAGUUCUAAUAAACUUUUUAAAAUCAGAUCAAGGUGCAGUAUAUUUAGGUUAUAAUGGGUUACAAUAUAUUUAUAUAUAAUGGAUGUAAAUUUGAAAUUAUAUUGAAAGUGGAUUCAAAAGUAAUGUUAAAUUAAAAUGUUAAUUUGAUUAAUAAUUUAAAAUAUGC
rnacentral:rRNA from 1 species